CGGGUGAGUAACGCGUGAGGAACCUGCCUCAAAGAGGGGGACAACAGUUGGAAACGACUGCUAAUACCGCAUAAGCCCACGGCUCGGCAUCGAGCAGAGGGAAAAGGAGUGAUCCGCUUUGAGAUGGCCUCGCGUCCGAUUAGCUAGUUGGCGAGGUAACGGCCCACCAAGGCAACGAUCGGUAGCCGGACUGAGAGGUUGAACGGCCACAUUGGGACUGAGACACGGCCCAG
rnacentral:rRNA from 1 species